CAACUUAACGUGCUUACGGAUAACCUAAUCCAUGUUUUUUGUCCUUGGUUGACCAUUGCCUACACGAUUUCCUUUCUCUACCAGCUCGCUACCUUCCCUGUGUGUCCCGGGAGAAUUUCCUGGACCAAAUAUACUGGAUGCUGAACUUCAGUUUCUAUACGUUUCUAGUUUGAAGAAAUCACCUUUUUUUAAAAAAAAUUGUUUUAGUUGUGUAGGUGUUUAUGUAUUUAAUGUGUUCACUCCUGCAUUUGUAGUUCAUUGUCAUUUUCCCAAGGGACCACAUUUCUCCCCAGUUAAUUUCUAAUGACCCAUUUUCAGGGGCAUCUGCACCACAGAGGCAGCAGCUGAUUUCGAUUAUGCCCGAAUUUUCUCAGCAGGAACCAUCAUUGACCUAAGCAUCCCUUUCACAAUACCAUCCCAGGCGGAGCAACAAGCCAGUGACCAUCCAGGCC
rnacentral:lncRNA from 1 species